CUACUGGGGUAUCUAAUCCUGUUUGCUCCCCACGCUUUCGAGCCUCAACGUCAGUCAUCGUCCAGCAAGCCGCCUUCGCCACUGGUGUUCCUCCUAAUAUCUACGCAUUUCACCGCUACACUAGGAAUUCCACUUGCCUCUCCGACACUCUAGCUCAGCAGUUCCAAAUGCAGUCCCGGGGUUGAGCCCCGGGCUUUCACAUCUGGCUUGCCGUGCCGUCUACGCUCCCUUUACACCCAGUAAAUCCGGAUAACGCUUGCCCCCUACGUAUUACCGCGGCUGCUGGCAC
rnacentral:rRNA from 1 species